UCAUCACAGCCAGCGAUCAUCAUUCUCAAAGCCAAUGUUUACUUCUGAAGAUCACUUUAGCACCGCCCUAAAAACCCAAUUCAUAUUCGACACAAACCUUCAAAUAGUGAUAGCGAGGGAAGUGAUGUGGAGAGUCAGGGGUCAGCAGCAGAAGGCAAGGAGGAAGAGAAGUUAGAGAUGAGGAGUGGACGGAGAGCGGAAAAGUAGGGGGAGAGGAACAUGUACAGGAGGAAGCAGAGGGGGAGGGGGAGGAAGAGCACACCUGAGAGAGGACCCUACGUUUCCAUGGACUGCAUCUGCCCGAAGUCCCAUCGGUCACCCUUGUACUACACAGACUGGGCCUAAAGUGACAGUAGCAGGGGUUUUGGAGUUGUUUUUAAAAGUGGUAGGAGUUAUUUUUCUUCAGACCUGGUGUUUAAUACCAACCUGUCUGCCACCACAUCCAAUUCACUGAGUUGUUGUCAAAGUAGGCUGUUAUUUCUACAUUUUGUGUCAGGCUGUAAUAAAUCUUAUUGAGGGAGGCUAUCAACAUUUUGAAAUAGUC